GAGUACGGUUAUUUAAAAGGAUGCAUAGUAUUAACAAGUAUCAGGAAACCAUAAAACUGAGUCAAAUACCAAAAACAAACCAGCAACCGUAGGUUUUUAUAUAAUUCUAGGACUGGUUGAAGUUUUUUAUCUCUUUAUAAGCGAAACCACAAUCUAUAACAUUUUUUUUAUUUUUGUUACUUCUAUUAUGGCCGGCUCUGUGAUUUGAGGUGGCUGAUGAAAGAUUUUGAGGAGGAAAAAGAAGAACCAGAGUUCAAAAGGAAACUUCUUUUUUAGUGCUGCCGUAAAAAUAUUGUCUUCAGAAAAUUAUAUUGUCUUUAACAUUUUUGGCACGAGUCUCUUGCCUUUAAUACUCUUGGCAAAAGUCUCUUGCCAUCGAACUUUCUGGAUUGUGAAAAAUUGUCCAUACUUGUUUUCCGAAGUAAAACCUGAUUGAAUAGUUUUAACUUUUGUGCCUCUGAACCCCAUUCUCCCUUUUAUCUGAAGUAUACAUAAUCGUUUGCAAUC
rnacentral:lncRNA from 1 species